rnacentral:rRNA from 1 species
AUUGAACGCUGGCGGCAGGCCUAACACAUGCAAGUCGAGCGAACGGCGGACGGGUGCGUAAUGUCUGGGAAACUGCCUGAUGGAGGGGGAUAACUCCUGGAAACGGUAGCAAAUACCGCCUACCAUCAGAUCUGCCCAGAUGGGAUUAGCUAGGACGUGGGGUAUCGGCUCACCUAGGCGACUAUCCCUAGCUGGUCUGAGAGGAUGAGGAGACACACUGGAACGGAGACCCGGUCCAGACUCCUACGGGAGGCAGCAGUGGGUGAUAUGGCACUAUGGGCGCAAGCCUGAUGCAGCCAGGCCGCAUGUGUGAAAAAGGCCUGCGGGUUGUGAAGGACUUUCAGCGGGAUGGCGUUACCCGCAUAAGAAGUAUCGGCUAACUCCGUGCCAGCGGCCGCGGUAAUAC